rnacentral:tRNA from 1 species
UUUUAAUAGCUUAAUAAGAGUAUAAUAUUGAAGAUAUUAAGGUAGUUUUACUUUAAAACAU